UUCCUGUACUCGGUGUUACUGCGAAGGGGGGACGGAGAAGGCUAUGUUGGCCGGGCGACGGUUGUCCCGGUUUAAGCAUGUAGGCGGAUGUUCCAGGUAAAUCCGGAACGUUACUAACGCUGAGGUGUGAUGACGAGGCACUACGGUGCUGAAGUGACAAAUGCCCUGCUUCCAGGAAAAGCCUCUAAGCAUCAGGUAACAUCAAAUCGUACCCCAAACCGACACAGGUGGUCAGGUAGAGAAUACCAAGGCGCUUGAGAGAACUCGGGUGAAGGAACUAGGCAAAAUGGUGCCGUAACUUCGGGAGAAGGCACGCUGAUGGUAGGUGAAGUGACUUGCUCAUGGAGCUGAAAUCAGUCGAAGAUACCAGCUGGCUGCAACUGUUUAUUAAAAACACAGCACUGUGCAAACACGAAAGUGGACGUAUACGGUGUGACGCCUGCCCGGUGCCGGAAGGUUAAUUGAUGGGGUUAUCCGUAAGGAGAAGCUCUUGAUCGAAGCCCCGGUAAACGGCGGCCGUAACUAUAACGGUCCUAAGGUAGCGAAAUUCCUUGUCGGGUAAGUUCCGACCUGCACGAAUGGCGUAAUGAUGGCCAGGCUGUCUCCACCCGAGACUCAGUGAAAUUGAACUCGCUGUGAAGAUGCAGUGUACCCGCGGCAAGACGGAAAGACCCCGUGAACCUUUACUAUAGCUUGACACUGAACACUGGUCCUUGAUGUGUAGGAUAGGUGGGAGGCUUUGAAGUGUGGACGCCAGUCUGCAUGGAGCCAUCCUUGAAAUACCACCCUUUAAUGGCUGGUGUUCUAACGUGGGCCCCU
rnacentral:rRNA from 1 species